rfam:Leminorella grimontii ATCC 33999 = DSM 5078 strain ATCC 33999 GLGR.assembly.13, whole genome shotgun sequence.
ACGCCAGCAAAAUCUGGCGUCGGGAUUGAGACCCCGGAUAUCUGAAAAGCGCACAGCCGCGCUAAGCGGUUUUUUU